rnacentral:rRNA from 1 species
CCCUUAGAUGUCCUGGGCUGCACGCGCGCUACACUGACACAUUCAGCGAGUUUUUCCUUAUCCGGUAGGAUUGGGUACUCUUUUGAACGUGUGUCGUGAUGGGGAUAGAUUAUUGCAAUUAUUAAUCUUGAACGAGGAAUUCCUAGUAAACGCAAGUCAUCAGCUUGCAUUGAUUACGUCCCUGCCCUUUGUACACACCGCCCGUCGCACCUACUGAUUGGAUGACUCGGUGAAAAAUUGGGACUGUGAAGAACACUGCUUAAUUGCGGCGUUUUUUAUGGGAACUUUUUUAAACCUCGUUAUCUAGAAGAAGGUGAAGUCGUAACA